AACGAACGCUGGCGGCAGGCCUAACACAUGCAAGUCGAACGCCGUAGCAAUACGGAGUGGCAGACGGGUGAGUAACACGUGGGAACGUACCCUUCGGUUCGGGAUAACUCAGGGAAACUUGAGCUAAUACCGGAUAAGUCCGAGAGGAGAAAGAUUUAUCGCCGAGGGAUCGGCCCGCGUCUGAUUGGCUUGUUGGUGAGGUAACGGCUCACCAAGGCGACGAUCAGUAGCUGGUCGAGAGGAUGAUCAGCCACAUUGGGACUGAGACACGGCCCAAACUCCUACGGGAGGCAGCAGUGGGGAAUAUUGGACAAUGGGCGCAAGCCUGAUCCAGCCAUGCCGCGUGAGUGAUGAAGGCCCUAGGGUUGUAAAGCUCUUUUACCCGGGAAGAUAAUGACUGUACCGGGAGAAUAA
rnacentral:rRNA from 1 species